UUCUUCUUUCAUCUUCUCCGUUCUUCACCUGUUUCGAUUAUGAGUCGAUUCGGAGAAAUUAAGAUUGUGUUUUGAGAUCAAGAGAAGAAGAUUUAGAUCGAGUAGUGACUGAUGCUGGUAGUGUUUAGUGGAAUUAAUGAAUCAGAUUCGAAGAAGAUAGAAACAAGAGGAAUUGAAUUAAGGUUUAUAGCUUUGAUUGAUGUUCUGAAGAUUAAGAAGAUGAUAUAUAGAGCUACUGUUGGAUGAGGAAGCAUGGGUAGAUGUUUAAUUGAAGUUCUAAAAUCUUUUUGAAGAUGAUUCAGAGAGUCAAAAUUAGGGUUUUGAAAUUUAGGUUUGAAUUCGUGGAGAGUUGAUUAGUAAUUGAAUUGUUAACGAACAAAGAACAACUGGGUUGUUAUUUAAUUGGAGUUGAAGUGAUGUUUUGUGUUUGAAUUCAAGAUUGAAGAUAAUUAGGGUUUCUGGGAGAUGAAAUUGAAUUUAGAGUUUAUAUGAAAUUGAAGUUGAAAUCAUAUAAUUGAUUAUGUGUAUUCUCUGUCGAGAGGAAGGAACGAGACUUAGCUAUCGAUUCUCAACUUUCAGUGAUUAAUUUAAUGGAAUUAGGGUUCCAAAGACAAACUGUUGAAGAUGAAAUUCAAAAUAGAGAAGAUAGUGACUGAGAUAGUAGGAGGCGGGUAUUUGGUAUCGAUUGGAGUUGAAUUGAGUUAGCAGUGAAGAUUGUGUAAUUGGCGGAGAUUGGAUUUGGGUCUAAGGUAAUUCUUUAAUUUCUAAUUGAAUUGAUUUAUAUUCAUUGAUGUGUGUUAUAGAAUCGAGUACAUGUUGUGUUAGUUGUUUUUGAUUGGAAGAACUGAAAGGAAAAGUUAAGAAUAGAGUUUCUGGAGUUAUGGUUAUGCAGGAUUGGUUUGAACUGUGAUGAUGGCGAUGUUGGUUGUGUUAAGAUGAUAGUGAUAUUACUUAGAAAUUAGAAUGGAGAUGAUGUUAUAGUUGUAGUUAAUGGAUUUGGUGGAUACUGAGUUUAUAUGGCAGCUGGUAGUGAUGUUGUAGUGAGGUAACAGCGGUCGUUGGUGGCUGAAGUAAAUGGAAUUAAGUCGGUCUGUAUAGGAUUUGCAGUUGUGUAUGUUCGACUGAUAAUUGUAAUCUGCCGAUGGUUUUGUGGGGUUGUAGCUGCAGUUCAAGUUACAAGUGGUAGAGUAGAUCACAAUGGUGGUGACUGUGUUGUUGGGUUGAAGACGUAGUAUUAGUCAGAAUUAAAAAGAAUUGGAUUACAAGUGAAGUCUGGUGGGGAUGUGUUGAGUUGUAGUUGAUGAACUAAAUGGUGGUACUGAUAAGGGAAUUGUGGGUGCAGGUUGUAGACCUAAUGUUGUUGUUGUUUGUGUAUUAAUGUUAUAGGUAGAUGAAUGUUGAAGGAGUGUUGCUUAGAGCUGCAUUUUGCAGUUAGUCUAUUAACAACGAUCGAUUCAAAGGAUGAAGCAAUGGAUCGUGGAUCUCGAGGUAGGUGUGGCUUGUCAUCAAAAGAGUUUCAGAGACAGAUCAGAGUUGCGCAGCGAAAGCUCCGAGAAAUUGACUUCGUUAGUUGGUUAUAUUCUGAUAUGUUUAUUAUGUUGUAUAUUCUAUUUGUAAACCAAAUGACUAUUAUAUAUGUAUCAUUUGAGAGGAUUUCUUGUAUAUAUAUUUAUGAGUGGGGUUAGUUUUGGGUUAAGUUGUUGUAGCAGAUUUCUUAAUUGAAAGUUAAGUAUUUGAUUUA